rnacentral:rRNA from 1 species
CCUAAGGGGAGGCAGCAGUAGGGAAUUCUCCGCAAUGACGAAAGUUUGACGGAGCAACCCCGCGGGAUGGAGGAAGGCCUUCGGGUCGUAAAGCUCUGUUGUGAGGGAAGAAGCGGUACCGUUCGAAUAGGGCGGUACCUUGACGGUACCUCACCAGAAAGCCACGGCUAAUUACGUGCCAGCAGCCGCGGUAAUACGUAGGUGGCAAGCGUUGUCCGGAAUUAUUGGGCGUAAAGCGCGCGCAGGCGGCUUCUUAAGUCUGAUGUGAAAUCUCGGGGCUCAACCGCGAGCGGCCAUUGGAAACUGGGGAGCUUGAGUGCAGAAGAGGAGAGUGGAAUUCCACGUGUAGCGGUGAAAUGCGUAGAGAUGUGGAGGAACACCAGUGGCGAAGGCGACUCUCUGGUCUGUAACUGACGCUGAGGCGCGAAAGCGUGGGGAGCAAACAGGAUUAGAUACCCUGGUAGUCCACGCCGUAAACGAUGAGUGCUAGGUGUUAGGGGUUUCGAUGCCCGUAGUGCCGAAGUUAACACAUUAAGCACUCCGCCUGGGGAGUACGGCCGCAAGGCUGAAACUCAAAGGAAUUGACGGGGACCCGCACAAGCAGUGGAGCAUGUGGUUUAAUUCGAAGCAACGCGAAGAACCUUACCAGGUCUUGACAUCCUUUGACCACCCAAGAGAUUGGGCUUCCCCUUCGGGGGCAAAGUGACAGGUGGUGCAUGGUUGUCGUCAGCUCGUGUCGUGAGAUGUUGGGUUAAGUCCCGCAACGAGCGCAACCCUUGAUCUUAGUUGCCAGCAUUGAGUUGGGCACUCUAAGGUGACUGCCGGUGACAAACCGGAGGAAGGUGGGGAUGACGUCAAAUCAUCAUGCCCCUUAUGACCUGGGCUACACACGUGCUACAAUGGAUGGUACAAAGGGCAGCGAAACCGCGAGGUGAAGCCAAUCCCAUAAAGCCAUUCUCAGUUCGGAUUGCAGGCUGCAACUCGCCUGCAUGAAGCCGGAAUUGCUAGUAAUCGUGGAUCAGCAUGCCGCGGUGAAUAAGUUGUAACAAGGUAUUACAAGUCGUAACAAGGUAUCCAAGUCGUAACAACGUACUCCAAGUCGUAACAAGGUAAUCCAAGUCG